rnacentral:piRNA from 1 species
GAGAUCUGGUGCCCUCUGCUGGCAUGC